rnacentral:rRNA from 1 species
GGGGUAGUGGCCUACCAAGCGACGACGGGUAGCCGGCCUGAGAGGGUGUCCGGCCACACUGGGACUGAGACACGGCCCAGACUCCUACGGGAGGCAGCAGUGGGGAAUAUUGCGCAAUGGGCGAAAGCCUGACGCAGCGACGCCGCGUGGGGGAGGAAGGCCUCAGGGUUGUAAACCCCUGUCAGGUGGGACGAAACGCAUGUCGACGAAUACUCGGUAUGCCUGACGGUACCAUCAGAGGAAGCUCCGGCUAACUCCGUGCCAGCAGCCGCGGUAAUACGGAGGGAGCAAGCGUUGUUCGGAAUUACUGGGCGUAAAGGGCGCGUAGGCGGCCAGGUCAGUCGCAUGUGAAAGGCCGGGGCUCAACCCCGAGCACUGCAUGCGAUACUGCCUGGCUCGAGAGAGGUAGGGGCGAGUGGAAUUCCCGGUGUAGCGGUGGAAUGCGUAGAUAUCGGGAGGAACACCUGUGGCGAAGGCGGCUCGCUGGACCUUUUCUGACGCUGAAGCGCGAAAGCGUGGGUAGCAAACAGGAUUAGAUACCCUGGUAGUCC